CCUGACUGCUAUCGGGGUGAGGCUAAGCCAUGCGAGUCUACGUCUCCGAGAUGCAGGAGGCGUGGCGUACGGCUCAGUAACACGUGGUCAACCUACCCCGUGGACGGGGACAACGUCGGGAAACUGACGUUAACCCCCGAUAGGGAAUGGGCUCUGGAAUGACCCAUUUCCGAAAAGUUGAGGGAGAAUUCUCCCUCAAUGCCACGGGAUGGGACCGCGUCCGAUCAGGUUGAUGGUGAGGUAACGGCCCACCAUGCCUGAGACCGGUACGGGCCCUGAGAGGGGGAGCCCGGAGAUGGAUCCUGAGACAAGGAUCCAGGCCCUACGGGGCGCAGCAGGCGCGAAACCUCCGCUAUACGCGAAAGCGUGACGGGGUCACCCCGAGUGCCGACCGCUGAGGUUGGCCUUUCCCUGGUCCAAAAGGCCAGGGGUAAUAAGGGGAGGGCAAGCUUGGUGUCAGCCGCCGCGGUUAUACCAACUCCCCGAGUGGUCAGGAUGUUUACUGGGCUUAAAGCGCCCGUAGCCGGCCUAGCAAGUUCCCUGUUAAAUCCGAUGUUCCAAGCAUUGGGCUGCAGGGAAUACUGCUAGGCUUGGGAGCGGGAGAGGUCGGCGGUACCUCCCGGGGAGGG
rnacentral:rRNA from 1 species